GUCAUCACAAGCUCAUGAAGAAAUACAGAAGUUUGUGAUCCUGGUGGGAAGACCAUAGAACAAAGAAAGCAAAAUUAGGCAAAAUUAAACACAAACCUGUGGGAAGAAGAGAUCAUCAUGAACUCAGGAAGGCUGCACAAGGUAGUCGAGGAGAUGAAGCUAAACCACAUGCAGCAACAACAGCAACGUAAGACCACGUACCACCGAACGCUGGGCUGGCUGUGACAUUCUGUAAAUGGUGUGAGAAAUGGAGAGGGAAAGUUUCUGGAAAUGGUUGCCAAAGGCAGGUUGGACUUCACAGAGAUGCAAAGACAUCAGCUGACUCCUGGAGAAUGUGUAGAACUCACACCCCAACCCAGAUGCCUCUGGGUACCUUGAAGGAAAGACCCAUCAGGGAACUAUUGAAAACUAUGGGUAAGCUGACCACAUUUUCCAUAAAAAUGUCAGAACACAUGGCCUGACACAUGGUCUAACACCAGGAAAGAAUAUUUUAAACGAAGGCUGUUCCAGAAAAUCUACAGCAUAUGGUUACUCAAUUUAUGGGCCAAGAAAAUCCUAACUACAAUAGAGGACUGAGCUGACCCACCCUAGGUAGACAAAACAUAGCCACUACCAUCUGAGAAGCUCUGAGUUAUUUCCUCACUGUCAUCAGAGUUCACGUUCGUGUUGAAGUUUCUGUUCAUCUCUUCAGAGGAAAGUUCCAUGCCUCAACAAUAAAAAAACAAGCCAGAGAAUUUAUAUUCAGAUUUCUUAAAUUAUGUUCUUUAAUUUUCUCUCAAUUUACUUAAAUAAUUUUUGUGUUAGGCAGGAUAUAUGAAUAAUGGAUAUAAAAAUGUUUCUUCUACCUGGGACAAUAAAAUAAAAUCCAAUGAAAAGUUUCCCUCCCUAUAAGAAAAAGAGAAAAAAAAAAAAAAAAAGAAAGAAAGAAAGAAAAAGAGGA